rnacentral:rRNA from 1 species
AGCAGCCGCGGUAAUUCCAGCUCCAAUAGCGUAUAUUAAAGUUGUUGCAGUUAAAAAGCUCGUAGUUGAAUUUCGGGAUCAAUACGUCGGUCGUGCUUCGGUACGUACUGGCGUCAUUGAUUUCUCCCUUCUGACGAACCAUGAUGUCAUUAACUUGGUGUCAUGGGAAAUCAGGACUGUUACUUUGAAAAAAUUAGAGUGUUUAAAGCAGGCUCACGCUUGAAUACAUUAGCAUGGAAUAAUGAAAUAGGACGUUCGAUCCUAUUUUGUUGGUUUUAGGAUCAACGUAAUGAUUAAUAGGGAUAGUUGGGGGCAUUAGUAUUCAAUUGUCAGAGGUGAAAUUCUUGGAUUUAUUGAAGACUAACUACUGCGAAAGCAUUUGCCAAGGAUGUUUUCAUUAAUCAAGAACGAAAGUUAGGGGAUCGAAGACGAUCAGAUACCGUCGUAGUC